rnacentral:rRNA from 1 species
UGAGUAACACGUAUCCAACCUGCCGUCUACUCUUGGACAGCCUUCUGAAAGGAAGAUUAAUACAAGAUGGCAUCAUGAGUCCACAUGUUCACAUGAUUAAGGGUAUUCCGGUAGACGAUGGGGAUGCGUUCCAUUAGAUAGUAGGCGGGGUAACGGCCCACCUAGUCUUCGAUGGAUAGGGGUUCUGAGAGGAAGGUCCCCCACAUUGGAACUGAGACACGGUCCAA